rnacentral:rRNA from 1 species
CAGUAGCCGCGGUAAUACGUAGGUGGCAAGCGUUGUCCGGAAUUAUUGGGCGUAAAGGGCUCGCAGGCGGUUUCUUAAGUCUGAUGUGAAAGCCCCCGGCUCAACCGGGGAGGGUCAUUGGAAACUGGGAAACUUGAGUGCAGAAGAGGAGAGUGGAAUUCCACGUGUAGCGGUGAAAUGCGUGGAGAUGUGGAGGAACACCAGUGGCGAAGGCGACUCUCUGGUCUGUAACUGACGCUGAGGAGCGAAAGCGUGGGGAACGAACAGGAUUAGAUACCCGGGUAGUCCCUGUCUCUUAUAC